rnacentral:rRNA from 1 species
UACAGAGGUGGCAAGCGUUGUUCGGAAUUACUGGGCGUAAAGGGCGCGUAGGCGGUUCGUUAAGUCCUGUGUGAAAUCCCCCGGCUCAACUGGGGCACUGCACAGGAAACUAGCGGGCUUGAGUUCGGGAGAGGGAAGCGGAAUUCCGGGUGUAGCGGUGAAAUGCGUAGAUAUCCGGAGGAACACCGGUGGCGAAGGCGGCUUCCUGGACCGACACUGACGCUGAGGCGCGAAAGCUAGGGGAGCAAACGGG